rnacentral:lncRNA from 1 species
UCUCCUCAGCUGGGUCUGUGCCCACUCUGGCUGCUUUCCAGAAAUCUGUUGCACUCGCAUGACAUCUCUCCCAUUCCCUUUGUCCCCUUGUGCUGGGACAAUUUGCAUGACACCGAAGUCCCUCACAGCAGCAGACCUCCAGAGACAGUGGCAUGGGGCUACCACCCGGAGAGGGAAGAAGGCAGUGGAACUCCCCGUGGAGAGGGAACCUGGAGAAGGGGUAGUCUAUUUGUGUCUCAGGAGAGAAGAAGGGUGACACGUGAUGGCUCCAUCUGAAGUGGUCAUCUGUUGGAGGAGGUAAUCGAGAGGACAUGACCACCAGUUGGCCCAAAGCUGGACCAACAGCUUUGGCAACAGUUCCUAGCGGUGUGCACAGCACUUCUCCAGGCAGAGCCUCUCACGAAGGAGCAGCAUAGCAUGGUGAGAACUUCCCUUCCUGCCAAGGGGUGGGUUGAGCAUAUGUUCCAUCGACCCACCUCUGCCAUGGCUCAGACUCCCACUUUGACUAAGUGGCAUGCCCAUUUGCAGCAGAGGAGCACCCUGUCUGCCAGGCUACUGUCUCUAGAAAUGCAGGCACUACUAGGCCCUGUGGAGUAUGAGAUCCUCCAAAUGCCCCCACCCCUAUUCCUGUGGCAGCCCCUGCACCCUAUAGAGAGCAAAUGGGGGAAAUUCCCAGAUGCUUGGUACACAGAUGGGUCUAGUCAGGGCAACCCACCCGCAUGAACUGCAGCUGCUAUUCUGCCCAACACUGACCCCAUCUGGAUGGAAGCAAGAAGCCAGUGGGCUCAACUCAGACCAGUCUGGCUGGUGAUCACUCAUGAGCCCUGGCCAUCAUCCCUUUGCACUGACAGUUGGACUGUUCUAAAGGGAUUAACCCUUUGGCUCGGAAAAAGAGAAGCUAAGGUGUGGAUGGAUGACCAUGAAAAAGACCUUGUGGGGUCAAGAUAUGUGGAAAGACAUUUGGGUUCACCUACAAGAGCCUGAGGCAAUCCUCGCUGCCUUCCACGUCCCAGCUUAUAAGGAGCUGACAUUCCCUGGCAAUCACAAAGCUGAUGCCUUAGCCCAGGAAUGAGCCUUAGCAACUAACCCUUCAGUAAAUACAGCAGAUUUGGUGCAUAAGAAAGAACGGCCACUGUAAUGCCUGGGUAGGAUGGCAUAUUGCCAAGGAUGCCGGAUUGUCCUUGAAAUACAGUGACUUGGUUAAUGUAGUAACAGAACGUCCUAAAUAAUGCCCAAGGCAGCUGCCCAACUCUGGGGCCAUCCACCAGAGUUCCCAACCAGUGAAGGAUUGGCAAAUUGAUUAUAUUAGCCCCCUCCCUCCAAGGGAGAGUUUUAAAUAUGCCUUGGUUUGUGUGGACACUGUGUCUGGCCUAACCCAAGCUUUCCCCUGUCACUGUACAAACCAGACUACCACCACUAGAGGAUUUGAGAAGCUGAGUACUAUGGACGAAUACCCUUGUUGAACAGACAGUGAUCAGGGGUCACAUUUCAAAGGUCAUGAUGUGCAAGACUGGGCAAAAGAACAUGCCACUGAAUGGAGGUUCCAUCUCCCCUAUAACCCGCAAGCAGCAGGGCUGGGAGAAAGGAAGAACGGAACGUUAAACCAGCAGAUUAAAUUACUAACAGACUGGGGACCCUUGCCGAGACACUCAACACUGUCAAGGUAUGGAAGUCGCAGGACAUAGCCACUGCCCCGACCCUCACUGUGGAUCAUUGUGCUAUGCUGCUGAGAACACCAAGCCCCAUCCCGCCUGGGAAAGGCAUUAACUACUGGAAUUUGCAAUAGGACAUCCCACCGGGAUGGCCACAUAACCUCCAAAUGAGCCACCUAUGCUCCAUGAAACCCCUUGCUGACUGCUCAAGGCACAUGGCAGAAGAGGGGAGCGUGUAAGAUUGUAAGAGCUGGUCAUGAGGGGUGGAGUAUUGGAGGUCAUGAAGAGGAUGUGACCACUGGUUGACCCAUGAGCUGGACCUGGACAAUGGAAGGCUCCUUACCCCCUCCCCUGUCCUUGGAACGUACAUUCUGCCCAUCCCAAGGAUGCAGCCUUGAGAGAGCAAUGUGUUGCUGAGACCAUCUGGAUGGUGUAUGUGAUUGAACCAGUUAUGGCCUCUAUAUGAACUUUUAAGAUUCUGGCAGGCGGGAGGUAGAGAUCUACUCACCUUGUGGCCGCCCAGGACAAACCUUAUAAGUAAGCUCCUUUGCUUAUUAAACCUGCCAUCCAGGGGCCGGCCCCGUGGCUGAGUGGUUAAGUUCGCGCGCUCCGCUUCGGCGGCCCAGGGUUUCGCCAAUUCCAGUCCUGGGCGCAGACAUGGCAUCACUCAUCAGGCCACGCUGAGGUGGCGUCCCACUUGCCAUAACUAGAAGGACCUACAACUAGAAUAUACAACUAUGUACUGGGGG